CACAGGAUGUUGCCGUGGUAUGUGCCAUUGCCUUGUCUGUGUUGACGACGCCCGGACAGGGUUUUUAGUUUUCAUGGUCUGCCGCGGUCGUCGUUGUUCCCUUGACAGCCAGACAGCCAGCAAGCAAACGAUGCUGGCAAAAAGCCUGUGACCCGGCCAGACACAAAUAUGUUUACGUUCUUACAUACAUACUUAUACGUAUUUAUAUGCAUGUAUGGCAAAACGAGACAGCAUUUCAUUCUCAUUGUUUCGCAUAUUCCUCUCAAUAUUUACAGCAGGAAAUCGAAAACAAAAUUAGCGAACGGAGGAUCGAACUACAUUUAAGGUCCGAUUAGUUGAUAUUUUUCUGUGUAAUCACUACUCUAGAUGCUGUUUAUUAUCAAAUAUCUCUUUCUAUUUAAGAAGAGUCUAACGGUGCAGCUUAUAAAUUUCCCUGUAUAUGAAUAUAAAUUCGGAAGUAUGUCUAAUAAACAAUAUGGACAUACUGCAUUUCCCUUUGAGUCAUAUUAACAUCUCUGUAUAAAGAAAUUGAUCCACAUAACUCGAUCAAACAAAAAUGCCAUAUGCUGAUGAGCAUGAAUAUAGCAGCUGCUGUAAUGAACUUAAGAGCACUAAUACGCACACACCACUGUACACAUGCUAUUCAUGUGUAUUGUAUGUAUGUAUGUAUACAUGCAAAUGCACUUCCAAAGGGUUCACACAAUGGGGGGAACGAGUAGAGAACGAAACGCAACUAGACCAAAUUGCAAAUAUGUUUGUAUAUGUAAGAGGAACGCAUUACAUUGAGUGAAACAUGAAACGGCGCCAGCCAAUGACACUCACACAUUCACUCAUUUAAAACUCCGCUAUUACAACACACGCUUCAGCUGUGUGCGUUUGUGUAUGUGUGGGUGUGGAUCUGGAUUGGACACCGGGACGUGAGAAACGUUUUGAGAUAACGGAACAUGGUUUUGCAUUAGUCACCACCAAGCAAAGAGACAGGCGAGCGAGCAGUCAAAGACAGGCUGCUUUAACAAACAACAGAUGUGAGCAACGAUGACGACGACGCUGACGGCGCUGCUGCCACCGCCACCACCACUAAACGAAUGAGUCGCAGGGCAUUAUUUUCUGGCAGAACAUGAGCGUAUGUAUUGAAAUAACAGCGAAUAAAAAAGAAUAACAGAAUUGAACGCUGGCAGCGCGAACUGGUCUUCUAGCAUACGCUUCCGCCUUUGCGCACGCUCGGCGUCAGCAGCGCAACGGCUGGCUAUGUGCAUGAAUUUGCAUAAUUUCAAAUUUAGUGUGUCUGUGUGAUGUAUGUAUAGCAAGCACAGACUCACACACUGAUGCUUGGUACAUACACUACAACGAGGGGAGGCGUGGUAAUCACAACAAAAAGAAAUUCAUAAAAAAUGACACGUUUUUGGUAAAUAUAUUUUCAAUAAAAAUAUACUUUAGGUGCACUUAUGUACACAAAGAGCUGA